rnacentral:misc_RNA from 1 species
UCUCCGUUGGUGAACCAGCGGAGGGAUCAUUACCGAGUUUACAACUCCCAAACCCCUGUGAACAUACCUUACUGUUGCCUCGGCGGAUCAGCCCGCUCCCGGUAAAACGGGACGGCCCGCCAGAGGACCCCUAAACUCUGAUUUUAUCGUGUAUCUCUGAGGGGCGAAAGCCCGAAAACAAAAUAAAUCAAAACUUUCAACAACGGAUCUCUUGGCUCUG